CCCCGAAGACCGGGAUAACCCUCCGAAAGGAGAGCUAAUACCGGAUACCCCCACCGAACCGCAUGGUUUGGUGAGGAAAUGGAUUCCGCUUCGGGAGGGCUUCGCGGCCUAUCAGCUAGUUGGUGGGGUAACGGCCCACCAAGGGCAUCGACGGGUAGCUGGUCUGAGAGGACGAUCAGCCACACUGGGACUGAGACACGGGCCCAGACUCCUACGGGAGGCAGCAGUGGGGAAUCUUGCGCAAUGGGCGAAAGCCUGACGCAGCAACGCCGCGUGGGGAUGAAGGCUCUCGGGUUGUAAACCCCUUUCAGCAGGGACGAAUCAAGACGGUACCUGCAGAAGAAGCCCCGGCUAACUACGUG
rnacentral:rRNA from 1 species